AACAACUACCAAUAAAGCAAAAACUAAAGAUCAAGCAACAACUACCAAUAAAGCAACAACUAAAGAUCAAGCAACAACUAGCAAUAAAGCAACAACCACACAUCAAACAGCAACUAUGCCUCAAACAACUACUACUCAAGCAACAACCACAACUCAUGCAGCAGCUACAACUAAAAAAACAACCACAGCUCAAACAACAACUACAACCCAAGAAACAGCAAUUUCACUUAAGGAGACGCAAUUAAACAUCACCAUGGAUAUGGAAUAUCAAACAUCAUUUAAUGAAAAUGACAGUGAAGUAUACCAAAAUGUCUACAUUGUCGUACGUUUUCAUAUAUUUCCUGUUUUGCUUUAUUAGUAUAUUAAGAACCAGAGAUAAUGUGGGAUUCUAAUAACGAAUGUUUGUGUUGCCAUGCAACAGAUUAAAAGCAAGUGUGAACAGCACAUCACAGGAUGUUCUGUAAGGAAUCUCUCCUUCAGCUCUGGGAGCACCAUCGCCUCUUAUACAGUCAAUGCUCGAUCUAUUGAGACCAAUCAACUUGACGACAUGAAAAGAGCAAUAUUUAGUGAUCUGUCAUCCUUGUAUCCUAUGUUAUUCAGAAGUAAGUAUUUCUGUAUACCUUUAUUUGUGUUAAAAUGGGUGGAAUUACUCACAAAAUCAUAACCGUUCUUUUAAAAAAAAGAUAAACGUAAUGAAUUAUUUUGUUUUAAAGGUGCAGACCCAAUACAGGUCCCUCACAAAGGCGUUUAUUUUGGGGGAAGUGUGAUGUUGUCCUGUGGCCCCCUGCCAGCAGAAGUAGGUUUUAGCUCUGGUUGGUCAGCAGAGUGGAGGAUUAAUGAUGAACUUACAAUUGAAGAUAAACUACAUGACAUUUCCUCAAAAAAUGGAGCAUCAUCAGUAUUGUCUGUGUCAGCAAUUUUUCUAACUGGAAAUGGUAAGUAGAAAAAAAAAAAGCAGCAUGUCGAACAGAUAAAAUAUUUUGAAUUUAAUAUAAGUUAGUCCUGCACUGUAAACCC
rnacentral:lncRNA from 1 species